rnacentral:rRNA from 1 species
CAGCAGCCGCGGGAAUACGUAGGGUCCGAGCGUUGUCCGGAAUUACUGGGCGUAAAGAGCUCGUAGGUGGUUUGUCGCGUUGUUCGUGAAAACUCACAACUCAAUUGUGGGCGUGCGGGCGAUACGGGCAGACUGGAGUACUGCAGGGGAGACUGGAAUUCCUGGUGUAGCGGUGGAAUGCGCAGAUAUCAGGAGGAACACCGGUGGCGAAGGCGGGUCUCUGGGCAGUAACUGACGCUGAGGAGCGAAAGCGUGGGGAGCGAACAGGAUUAGAGACCCCCGUAGUCCCUGUCUCUUAUAC